rnacentral:misc_RNA from 1 species
UGAAAAUCAUCAAACACAAUUUUGAACAUUGUACACAUUUUUUUUCCAAUGAGAUAUGCAGAUAAUUAUAGUCCUUUUACUCAAUAGUGCCUGCUACUCUAUGAUCAUUUCCAGAGCCAGGGUAGUUUUCUCUGAUUGAUUUUCCAGUAAUUUCUACAUAUCAACUUAAUGACUAAAACCCAUAAAUGCGGAACUAACAAAUUUAACUAAACUUGUAGCACAUCUCCAUAGCACUCUUCUUGCUAAGCAAAUCCCUGUGACAAUGUCUAUCUAAAACAAUAAAAAAAAAAUUAAAAAGAAUAAAUUCAAAUAAAAAAAAAACAAUUUACAAUAUGAAGCAUUUAAAACGCUGAAAGAGUGCAGGAUAUAAUACAAAUUUAAUUUCGAUUUGUUUAAUUAAUCUAUUAAAUAUAAGAAUUAUUAUAUCACAAAUAUGAUUUUUUUUAAUCAUUAAUUUCUUCUUUUAAUAUAUUAUAAAUUAUUUUUCCUUUUUUUCCCUUUAUCUUUUAAAUAGACAAAUUGCGUGAUUAACACUUUGUUAGAAAGAAAAAGAAAUCAUAGAAAUAGUUAUUAUUCCUUCUCCCAGAAGCAUAUGCAUACUAUUGCCUAUAAGGGAUCAUUAAUGAGUCGGUACGUUAUGGUUGAAAGUUGAAUGUAGAUUUUGAUGCUUUGAUUUAACCUUGCAGAUGUUGACUCUAUCAACAGAAAGAGUCCAUAAAAUUCAGAAGGAA